UACGGGGGGAGCAAGCGUUGUUCGGAUUUACUGGGCGUAAAGGGCGCGUAGGCGGCCAGCACAAGUCAGUUGUGAAAUCUCCGAGCUUAACUCGGAAAGGUCAACUGAUACUGUGCGGCUAGAGUGCGGAAGGGGCAACUGGAAUUCUUGGUGUAGCGGUGAAAUGCGUAGAUAUCAAGAGGAACACCUGCGGCGAAGGCGGCGCUCUGGGCCGGUACUGACGCUGAGGAGCGAAAGCGUGGGUAGCAAACAGG
rnacentral:rRNA from 1 species